CGCGGCCUAUCAGCUUGUUGGAGAGGUAACGGCUCACCAAGGCAUCGACGGGUAGCUGGUCUGAGAGGAUGAUCAGCCACACUGGAACUGAGACACGGUCCAGACUCCUACGGGAGGCAGCAAUGGGGAAUCUUGCACAAUGGGCGCAAGCCUGAUGCAGCAACGCCGCGUGCGGGAAGACGGCCCUAGGGUUGUAAACCGCUUUCAGGAGGGAAGAAAAUGACGGUACCUCCAGAAGAAGGUGCGGCCAACUACGUGCCAGCAGCCGCGGUGACACGUAGGCACCAAGCGUUAUCCGGAUUUAUUGGGCGUAAAGAGCUCGUAGGCGGUUCGGUAAGUCGGGUGUGAAAAUCCAAGGCUCAACCUUGGGACGCCACCCGAUACUGCUGUGACUAGAGUGCAGUAGGGGAGCAGGGAAUUCCUGGUGUAGCGGUGAAAUGCGCAGAUAUCAGGAGGAACACCAGUGGCGAAGGCGCUGCUCUGGGCUGUAACUGACGCUGAGGAGCGAAAGCGUGGGUAGCAAACAGGAUUAGAUACCCUGGUAGUCCACGCCGUAAACGUUGGGCACUAGGUGUGGGUCUCAACCAACGAGAUCCGCGCCGUCGCUAACGCAUUAAGUGCCCCGCCUGGGGAGUACGG
rnacentral:rRNA from 1 species